GCCUCCUACAUAGACGUGUCUGCAGUUUCCUGCGUUUGAACAUGGAAGAAAUGGAGGCAAAGAAACGUGGAUCUGAAGAUUCUAGGGCCAGCAUUGCUCCCUGUAGGCUCAAGAUCAACCUUCCUACAUAG
ensembl:snoRNA